UCCUUUUGAGUGGCAUAUCCAAAUUAGGUGCUCAGAACUAUCAAUAUAUAAGACAUGCAUUUUGUUCAAAGAGAUAUAGAGCUGGAAGUGUCAUAUAUUUGUGCUGCUGUUGAGGAAUGAUAGAGCAAAUCUCUAUUGGCAGAACGAAGUAGAAAGCUUGGACAUGCAUGCUUCUGGUUUGCCAAAGGAGAUUUGCCCUGCCAUUUUUGACAGCUUUUGAUUAAGACUAACACAUCAUAUUAAUUACUUUCUUUUUGUUUUCCAUAGUCGGUCCAUGACACGUCUCCCAUACUUGUGAUAGAUAUUGUGCAGAUUGUUAAUUGUGUAUCACAUGGAGACUGAAGAGCCAAAAGAUUGUCCAAUGAAGCCAUAAGAAGAAUGCACUAUAUUGUGAUGAUCGAUGAAGUUAACCAAAACACUGAAGCUUUAUCUAGCAAUUAGAAUUUCUAUAAUGUACUAUUUAUUAGUGAGCAUUACUGCAGAAAUCUUAUUCUUUCCUUUUAAUAAAGAAUUCUAGCUUUAUCAAACAAGAGUUUCUGCAUAAACUAUGGAUAUACUUUUAUACCAGAUGUCUGCAUCUCUGGAACUUAA